rnacentral:misc_RNA from 1 species
GAUGAAGAACGUAGCGAAAUGCGAUAAGUAAUGUGAAUUGCAGAAUUCCGUGAAUCAUCGAAUCUUUGAACGCACAUUGCGCCCCCUGGUAUUCCGGGGGGCAUGCCUGUCCGAGCGUCAUUGCAACCCUCAAGCGCGGCUUGUGUGUUGGGCUUCGUCCCCCCGUGGACGUGCCCGAAAGGCAGUGGCGGCGUCCCGAAUGGUGCCCGAGCGUAUGGGAACUCUCUUCCGCUCGAACCGGCCCAUUCGGCGCUGGUCGAACCCCAAUUUUUUUUUACCGGUUGACCUCGGAUCAGGUAGGGAUACCCGCUGAACUUAAGCAUAUCAAUAAGCGGGA